rnacentral:rRNA from 1 species
UACGUANGGCGCAAGCGUUAUCCGGAAUUAUUGGGCGUAAAGAGCUCGUAGGCGGUUUGUCGCGUCUGCCGUGAAAGUCCGGGGCUUAACCCCGGAUCUGCGGUGGGUACGGGCAGACUAGAGUGCAGUAGGGGAGACUGGAAUUCCUGGUGUAGCGGUGAAAUGCGCAGAUAUCAGGAGGAACACCGAUGGCGAAGGCAGGUCUCUGGGCUGUAACUGACGCUGAGGAGCGAAAGCAUGGGGAGCGAACAGGAUUAGAUACCCUGGUAGUCAAGGGCG